UACGUAGGGGGCAAGCGUUGUCCGGAUUUAUUGGGCGUAAAGAGCGUGUAGGCGGCUAGGUAGGUCCGUUGUGAAAACCUCGGAGCUCACCUCGAGACGUCGAUGGAAACCAUCUAGCUAGAGUCCGGAAGAGGAGAGUGGAAUUCCCGGUGUAGCGGUGAAAUGCGCAGAUAUCGGGAAGAACACCGGUGGCGAAGGCGGGUCUCUGGGCCGAUACUGACGCUGAGGAGCGAAAGCGUGGGGAGCGAACAGG
rnacentral:rRNA from 1 species